UACGUAGGGGCCAAGCGUUGUCCGGAUUUAUUGGGCGUAAAGAGCUCGUAGGUGGUUUGUCGCGUUGUCCGUGAAAACUCACAGCUUAACUGUGGGCGUGCGGGCGAUACGGGCAGACUGGAGUACUGCAGGGGAGACUGGAAUUCCUGGUGUAGCGGUGGAAUGCGCAGAUAUCAGGAGGAACACCGGUGGCGAAGGCGGGUCUCUGGGCCGAUACUGACGCUGAGGAGCGAAAGCGUGGGGAGCGAACAGG
rnacentral:rRNA from 1 species